rnacentral:rRNA from 1 species
UGGGGAAUAUUGCACAAUGGGCGCAAGCCUGAUGCAGCCAUGCCGCGUGUAUGAAGAAGGCCUUCGGGUUGUAAAGUACUUUCAGCGGGGAGGAAGGGAGUAAAGUUAAUACCUUUGCUCAUUGACGUUACCCGCAGAAGAAGCACCGGCUAACUCCGUGCCAGCAGCCGCGGUAAUACGGAGGGUGCAAGCGUUAAUCGGAAUUACUGGGCGUAAAGCGCACGCAGGCGGUUUGUUAAAUCAGAUGUGAAAUCCCCGGGCUCAACCUGGGAACUGCAUCUGAUACUGGCAAGCUUGAGUCUCGUAGAGGGGGGUAGAAUUCCAGGUGUAGCGGUGAAAUGCGUAGAGAUCUGGAGGAAUACCGGUGGCGAAGGCGGCCCCCUGGACGAAGACUGACGCUCAGGUGCGAAAGCGUGGGGAGCAAACA